ensembl:lncRNA
UUAAUGAAGCCUCGCUUCAAAGAAACACAGCUUUGUGAUCAUUCUUUCAACUUUAUUUGUACAACCCUUACUGCUAAGUGGACAAUAUUAAAAAGGAAAUCACAAUUCUUUGCAAGUGCUACUCAAAGGAACUUGGACUUGACAGGCUAUAAUUCAAGAGAAAGGGCUGGUAAUUAGGUUGGGUUGACUCCGCCCCCUGCAGACAUUGUGGUGACAACAGGGAAUGUUUCUCUUUGAACGAGGUUGGGGCCAAUGCCGGUUAAUGGAAAGGGGAUGUUCCUCCGGCCCAGUACUCCUCAGCUCUCAGCUCUCUUCACUUCCAGUUUAACAACUUGUUGUGACCGAGUGGUGACACCGAUGUAUUGGGCCUUUUUGACGUCUGUUUGCGGAGGACUAAUAGUUUCCCCCUGGGGAAUCUUUAAAGUUGGGUUGAAUUUAGAGCGUUUCCCCCAUUUCCCUGGUCCUCCUUUGAAACCACUUAACACACACGGUACACGUGAUGCAUUGCGUUUUUUGGCUAAAGAAAGCAGAGCACAGCAGGGAUUCUCUGUGAGAUAUACAGCUACUUGUGAGCAAAUUCCACCCGUCCCCCUGCAGCUCUGUGCCUGCACCAAACUGGGCAUAAUAUCUGUGCGUAGUGUAGUUUGCAAAUUAGGUAUUAAAGUUUCCUUUCUCCCUGUUAGGAUUUUGUUACUGACAGCAUGGGGUGAGGUGUGUUUACGAGAGAUCUGCUUCCCUUAAUACUAAACGGUGUAAAAACAACUGGAAAAAAACAACUAUAUAUAUAUCCACACAAAUUAUCACUGAUGUCACCAAUAUUGUAACGGAGCUUGCUAUGAGCACCACAGCUAUCGCCCCGAUCAUCCAGCACUAUGGAGCGAUGUGCAUCAAAGGCAGCUAACAUCCAUGUAAGCUCUGCUGCCCGUGUGUCCCAUGUAGUGCCAAGAUGCUGUCGAGGCCGCUUACCAAUCGUUGACUACUAUGGAGACCCGUGUGAGAAUGAGGCACAGCUACUCGGAUCGAGCACGCAGCAGCAAAAAGAAAAAAGAGGCUAACAAGCAACAGGAUGUCAAUUACAUGGCAGCAGUGAAAUCCACACUUCAUGUCGGCUUAAAGCUGUCAACUGUCUAUAGAGAGGAAUGCCAGACAGCAGCGCCGGAGUCUGCCUCGGGAGAACAGAAGUCAUAAUAUCUACACCAGUACUCCGAAUUGGAAAACAACAAUCUAUCGCAUCUACGUCUGGGGAAAUAUAUAUUCACUAAACCUUUGAUAGAUGGAUUAAAAGUGAAAUUCUGGCUGGAUGAGUGUACAAUUUUCUUGUCACUGCUUCGGACUGCGAAACCCUUGGAGAAGCCGGGUGUGCCUACAGAGUCGUGGUGGUAGAUGAGAGAAAUGAAGCUCCUGCGCGUAUUAGGUGCGUAUCUGCCUCUGUGUUGCAGAGGUUGCCAACCACUGCACCGCAGUCAGGGACCGUACAGUCCAGUGGUUAUUCGUACCCUGACCACGUACUUCAGAGUUUACUCAUUCUCCUUUGGCUGCAGGAUUUUGUGUGUGUGUGUGUGAGAGUGAGAGUGAGUGAGCGUUCUUUCAGUUAUAAUUGCUGCAGAUACAUGAGACACACACACACAUACACGCGCACACACACGCAUGCUUGACAGAAUGCAUGUGUGUGUGUGUGCACAUGUACAGUGCGACCAAACCAACACGGCUGCGUGAUGAUUAAUCACUGAACACAGUUUACCCUCCCUUGCUGAAACGGUAUCCGUAGUAAUUACACACGCACACCGACACGCAUCUCGCGUUAGGAAUUAUUUAGAAAGACGGAGAGAAAUAUAAAAAGACAGAGGAAUACAGAGAAAUAAGAGACCGUGGAUUUGAGUUUGAUUGUGAGUGACACCUCAGAACAAAGCAAUUAUUGAUUUCACUCUCUCAACAGCUUUUCUUAUUGCCGGUGCAAGUGUGAUUGUGUUAAGCGUAAUUCAGGGAAAACACCAAAGAACUGAUCCAUCACAUUAAUUACAGUCUAUUUGGAAAGUGCAGUUUAAAAUCCUGUGUUUUCGACGGUUAAGGUUGACGGACUUUGUACAGUUUACAAUUACUACGAAUGAUUUGUAGAUUUUUUUCAAUGAAAUGUAUGUUCUGUUGUAUUUAGUCAGGGCUGUCAUUGAUCUCCUCAUCAUCAAACACUCA